GAAGCCCCACAUUGCCCAAGAAAAAUCAAUAAAAUUUGCAAAAGAGACAGAAGCAAAGACUGACAUUAAAUUUGAAACGGUAAUAAAAGAUUGUUUGGAUGUUGAAGGGUCUGUAGUCUGUACCUUAAGGGACCCCCAAAAUUUAAAGCAUCACUGACUAAAAUCCUACAGGAUUAGGUGCAUCCCCAUUUACUGCAAAAAUGUAGCAACCCAAAGCUCAAACCAAGCAAUGUCUCCCUCCUUCCUUGCUUUCUUUCCCAGGCCUUCUUCAAUUCAAAACAGACAGAACCAAACAAGCAAAAAUUGUUUUGUUUUACCAAACCAGAAAAAAAAAACCAGUCAGCAAACUCAGAUCAUGAUAAAUAAUAAAAGAAGAAGAGAAAAAGUGUGGCAAAGCAACAUAAGAUUUGGUUUGAAUUUGAAAUAUCCAGUCCUGGCAUAUUAACAUUGGUUACAAAGAGAGUAAGUAAAGAAAAAAUAAUAGCAAUGCUAAGUGCUAAAUGCUAAAUGCUAAUACCACUAAGCUAACAGAUUGAGCCAUCUAGCCAAUAUCACGACGAGCAGCAUGAUAUAAUAAUCAAGAGAAGAAAAAGAAGAACAUCAUAGUGACAGGCGAGAAUUGGAGUUGAGUGAAAGCCUUUUGCCUCGGAAGGAUGGUUGAGUGAAAGAGAAAGCAUUGGUGGUGGUGGUGGUGCAGCCAGUGGUGCUUGAGGUGGCACCAAAGGCAGGGCCUCUCCCAGUGUGGUGAAAGAGGAAACAUGAGUGAGUGAAGAAUGGGAGAAGGAGUGUGGUGCAAAAGGGUGCAAAAGGGUGAAAAGGGGUAACUAGCUAAGGGGUGAAGGAGUGGCUGGUUGGUUGUGUCCCACUGUGAUUGUCUGUCCAAGCAUAACGUGGGCAAAAGAAAAUGAAUGGUUGGUGUGCUUUUUUUCUGUACGGUUUGGGCAUGGAGAUACUUCUCUUCUGCUUUCUAUGUGUUGUGUUGUGUUGUGUUGUUGCCUUAACCUCUUUUCUCUCUCUCUCUCUCUGUUUCUCUCUCUAAAUUCAGCUCAACUCAAAUCUCAAUCCUUUUCUUUCUCCAGUGGGUGCCCAGAAGCCCAGAUUAGCUAGAUUUGCGCAAGCAACCUCUGUCCUCUUUUCUCUUCCUUUCCUCACCUUCGUCAAUCACCAUAAUUCCAUUCAGCUCCCUCCUUCUUCCACUCUCUUUUUUAAUAUUCUUCAAAACUUU
rnacentral:lncRNA from 1 species